GCUGCCCGGCCACCGCCGCGUGCCGGAGCACCGAGGCUGCGGCGCUCGCUCUCGGGGCUCCGAGAUGCUGCGGCUCCACUCGCCCACGCCACCCCGAGUCCCAGAGCCUGGAUCUGAGCGGCCGGCUUGACUCGGGGCCGAAGAAGGGGUUGUCUUUCGUGCAGAGUUGCGGCCAGAGGACCCAAAGUUUUGCUUGUGUGUCCCUCCCUCCUCGGGUCCCUGUCGCCCACGUUGAGGCGCCCCUGUGGAGAUCCUGUCGGCUUAAUGGGUGGGAGCCGAGUAGGUGUGCACGUCCCCCACCCCACGUAGGGUGGGGACCCUGGUGACCUCGCGUCCUGGCCACCAUCCCCUUCAUCCUAUCAGUCUCUGGUGGACCGUAGAUCUUGGGGAUUCUGCGGAUGCUUCUGGGAGGUGAAAUCAAUGGGUCCUUAAAUGCAGACCAGCCACUCUCAGGAGGGGAAGACAUGUGAGAUUUCUCUUGGACCUCACAGAGGUGCAUGCUGUGGUCUCUGGAAGAAAAGAGGAAAGAAGCUUAUCCACUCCUUAGAGAAACAUGACACAUGUACAGUGACUGGCCAAUGUAGGUGAGCACUGAGCCCCAGGCAGAGCUGAGCGUAGUAGGACUGGUGAACACCACCAUGACGCAGAGGCAGGUUGCUCUCAGCUUCUGGAGCUUCUGCCCAGCCCCAGGGACUCCAGGAUUCAGCCCAGGUGCAAUGGAAGCCAAAUCCUGCUGCUGAUGCCUUCUCAAGAGGAUUCAUGGGUGGGGAUCUGGGGAUGGGAACCAAAGUCCCACAUCAGUGUUGUCUUGACGAGAAAUUAGGAAAGGGCAGGGGCUGUGGCUCAGCAGUAGAGCGCUCACCUAGCAUGUGUGAGGCCCUGGGUUCAAUCCUCAGCACCACAUAAAAAUAAGUAAAUAAAUAAAGAUAUUGUGCCCAACUACAACUAAUAAAUAAAUAAAUAAGAAAUUAGGAAAGAUGAGUAAAUGUAAGAACUAUGGGGCCGGCGUUGUGGCUCAGUGGUAGAGCAGUUGCCUAGCAUGCAUGAGGCACUAGGUUUGAUUCCCGGCACCACAUAAAAAUAAAAUAAAGGUCUUGUGUCCGUUUACAACUAAAAAAAAAAAAGAAAAAUUUUUUAAAUGUAAGAACUAUAAAAUAGCCUGCUCCUCUCAGCAAGAAACCAGGUUUAUGGUGCAACUCUGUGGUCAAGACCAGGGGUUUGAAAAUAGUUAUUAUGAAAUGACCCUAUUAGGGUUUUAGUGGCCCUCUCCAGAGGCUAUGCUUUUAAAUGGAUUGCAUCAGGGUCCCCUCAAUUGGGGGAAGAUAAACUAAUUUUUCUCCUGCCUAUUCAGUGCCAUUUGCUCUCCCUCUCCCCGUCUUCCUACACCAUGUAUACUGACAAAAAGUCAAAGAAUGAAUUUAGUCAAAAUACAGUCCCUCCUCAGACUGCUGGGAGGGAGAAACCACAUAUAUUCAAAGCCCAAACCUUUCCAUAGGCAAAGCUCGAUGGUAAGUAAUCGUUGUCUUGUCCCCCAUUCAGGAAUUGUCCAUUCCUCCCAGUGGGUGUUGGCAGCAUGUUCGAUGGAGACCACUAAUGAGGAGCUUCCCCUUCCCUAAGCUCCUCUGGAUUCUCAAGGAUGUGUGAACCAGGGAAGCGAGUGGUGGUAAAGGAUUUCUAGGCCCGUCAUUUUCUUUUUCUGAGGUCUGGGUUUGAAAGUGGUAGAGCAUUUACCAAUUCUUCUCCAUGGCAGGUCCUACAAGAGGGAUGGAGAAGAGAAAUUCUGAAUAUAUGACAUGUCUGGAUUUUACAAAGGUGUUUCACUAAUGAUAUCUGUAGGAGACUGGGGCCCCCUAAAGAUCCUGGGUCCUGAUCCCUGAAUCCUAUGAGUGUUACAUUAUACAGUUAAGUCUUUGCAGAGGUGAUUAAGUUAAAGAUCUUGAGCUGGAGAUAUUAUCCUGGAUUAUCCAGCUGGGCCCUAAAUGCCAUCACUUGUAUCCUUACUUAAGAAAGAGGCCAAGGGAGGUUUUAUAAUGACACUCACAGGAGGGAAGUGUUUUAGUUAGUUUUUUCAUUUCUGUUACUAAAAGACCAGAACAAUUGUGGAGGAGAAAAAGUUUAUUUGGGGGCUCAUAGUUUCAGAGGUCUCAAUCCAUAGAGAGCAAGUUCCAUUCCUCAGGGCUCAAGGUGAGGCAGAACACCAUGGUGGAAGAGUGUGGCAGAGAGAAGCAGCUCACAGGAUGAUUAGGCAGCAGAGAGAGAGAGAUCUCCACUUGCCAGAUACAAAUAUAUACCCAAAGCCACGCCCCCAAUGCCCCACCUCCUCUGGACAUGCCCCCACCUGCCUCCAGUUACCUCCUUUUAUUCCUAUCCCGUGAUUCAUUCACUGAUUGGGUUAAGGCUCUUGUAACCCAAUCAUUUCUCCUCUGAACUUUCUUGCACUGUCUCACACUGGAGCUCUGGGGGACACCUCAGAUCCAAGCCAUAAUAGCAGGCAAUGUAAAGAUGGAGCACGGGAGGCUUUGAAGAUGCUGGCCCUGAAGACGAGAGUGAUGCAGCCCGCCCAAGCCAAGAAGCUCAAGAGGCAAGAAGCAAUUUCUCCCCUAGAGUCUCUGGAGGGAGUGUGGCCUUGAUUGUGGCGCAGUGAAACCAAUGUUUGAUUUCUGAUCUCUAGAACCGUCAAAGAAUAAAUCUGUGUCACUUAAGGUC